AUUGAACGCUGGCGGCAGGCCUAACACAUGCAAGUCGAACGAGUGGCGGACGGGUGAGUAAUGUCUGGGAAACUGCCUGAUGGAGGGGGAUAACUACUGGAAACGGUAGCUAAUACCGCAUACCAUCGGAUGUGCCCAGAGGGGAUUAGCUAGUAGGUGGGUUAAAGGCUUACCUAGGCGACGAUCCCUAGCUGGUCGGAGAGGAGGACCAGCCACACUGGAACUGAGACACGGUCCAGACUCCUACGGGAGGAAGCAGUGGGGAAUAUUGCACAAUGGGCGAAAGCCUGAUGCAGCCAUGCCGCGUGAAUGAAGAAGGCCUUCGGGUUGUAAAGUACUUUCAGCGGGGAGGCGUUACCCGAAGAGGAAGCAACGGCUAACUCCGUGCCAGCAGCCGCGGUAAUUC
rnacentral:rRNA from 1 species